AAGAUAAGAGCCAGUCAGAUUAGCCGAAGGACAACUGCCUAGCUGGAAACCCUAAUAUAUAUGUGCUCAAGUACUAAUCUGUUAGUAACUUGUGAAUAUAUGAUAUCUAAUUAGGCAAGUCAUCCUUGGCUACCAAACACGGCUCUUCACC
rnacentral:pre_miRNA from 1 species